rnacentral:rRNA from 1 species
CCAAGGAGUUUAACUCUUGCGCGAGUCACUGAGACUUGAAUAGGCUCAGGGGCGAAAUGAAAGUGAAUCACGGUACGAUCGCGAAGUGUUCCGCAAGGAACGUAGCGCGCGCAGUAUCGGCCCGUCUCACCCUAGUUGAGUCUAGGCGGCGGAGCUGGAGCGCAAGGGUUGAUACCCGAAAGAUGGUGAACUAUGCCUGGGCAAGACGAAGCCAGAGGAAACUCUGGUGGAGGUCUGUAGCGAUUCUGACGUGCAAAUCGAUCGUCAGACCUGGGUAUAGGGGCGAAAGACUAAUCGAACCAUC